rnacentral:sRNA from 1 species
CGAAUUUCGUUCCGAAACGCUGCUGCUGCUUGUUGAAUUCUAAAUCCGUUGUAAUAAUAACCAGGCGCAACUGCCGACUAGCUCCAACUUACUGCAGUGCGAACGCGGACGGACGCGAGCAAGCUAUACGUAGCUAAGCCAAGAAGAACAAAUAUUCUCGAAGGGGUAUGCAUAACAUGUGUCCACUCAUGUGUCAUUGCCCUGCUGUAUACGCUAGACAUUAAUCCACAGAAUCAAGUUCUUGAAACAAUAGCGGCCUCAUAUAAGGUAUUAAGACUACUGCCUGUCUCAGCAAAAGAAUAUAUAUGGUCCUCAUAAGUAUCUUUGCGCGAUAAACUUCAACACCAUCCCCGAACUCAUAUGAUUGUUAUUCACUCGCUACUCUGUCUCUUCAUCUACUCCUUAUCGGAUUCGGUGACGACAGCCGCCCGGUCCGUCAAGUCAUCGACCACCUUCGCCCCCUCGCUGGUGACGGCUGCUGCCACACUGCCAAUGGCGGCAGUAGCUUUAUCCAAGAGAGAUGCGAUCUUAGUAGUUUCAUGAAGGAUAGAGACGGCAGCAGAUGUAGCUUCGUCCCAGAUAGAUUCAGCAUCAGAGAGAAUGUCCCCAAAGUCACGGGCCUCAUUGACUAGGUGAACAGCAGACAAGGAUGAUUUCAGUUGAUGAACGCAAGUGGAUGGUAAUGCUACUCACUUCCAUGGUUGGGGGGUUUCGCAGUAGUGCCGACCUUGGAAGGGAAUGGGAGGUCUGGGAUAUCGGAAGAAUGUUGAGACAUCAGAUAUCGCGUGGCCUCAGAGAGGAGACUAAACCAACCUGGGAAAUCAGCGUUUGCAGGAAGCAAACCAUCGCUUAGAUCACGGUUGAUGGCAGGUGCAGCUUGGGCAAAAAGCGCGAGUACCAGAAGGAACUUAACGAUGGAGGUGCAGCGCAUUCUUAUGGACAAUGAACAGAGCGUUGGGCUAUGGUUGUAGUAAGAAGGAAGACAAAAUGUUCAAAUAAUGGGUCUUUUCUGCCCAGAGUUUUAUUUAUAGUUGGUGACAAGAUCCACCGACGUUGAUCAACUCUCGGGAAUGGUGUGACUUUUCAGCUUUAUUUACCGUAGUGUCACUUCUUCUGGUCUGACCACUAUUGCACGACUAUUGAUAUGUAAGUCAUGUCCCAUUGUAACGCUGAAUGUCAAGCAGAAUAACAAAAUGCCGGAAUGAACGAGGAUUUCAUUCGCUUGCUCGUUCACUCGCACUGGUGCAAUCCUCAUGUGUAUCAUCUUCUUGCUACAAGUAAUGAGCAUGCAGCUCGAUUUAUAGCAUUACUUGUGGCCCUUCUCCCCUUCCCAAUAAUCGAAAAAAGAGGUUGCAGUGAUGAGCUACUGGUCUUCUUCUAUAAGAGGUCAUCUG